rnacentral:rRNA from 1 species
GAUGAACGCUAGCGGCAGGCCUAACACAUGCAAGUCGAGGGGCAGCACGUCUUCGGAUGGUGGCGACCGGCGCACGGGUGCGUAACGCGUAUGCAACCUACCUCUUACAGUGGGAUAACCCAGAGAAAUUUGGAUUAAUACCGCAUAGUAUACAGAUUCAGCAUUGGGACUGUAUUAAACAUUUAUGGGUAAGAGAUGGGCAUGCGUUCUAUUAGUUAGUUGGAGUGGUAACGGCACCCCAAGACAGCGAUAGAUAGGGGCCCUGAGAGGGGGAUCCCCCGACACUGGUACUGAGACACGGACCAGACUCCUACGGGA